GAUGAAGAACGUAGCGAAAUGCGAUAAGUAAUGUGAAUUGCAGAAUUCAGUGAAUCAUCGAAUCUUUGAACGCACAUUGCGCCCGCCAGUAUUCUGGCGGGCAUGCCUGUCUGAGCGUCAUUUCAACCCUCAUGCCCCUAGGGCGUGGUGUUGGGGAUCGGCCAAAGCCCGCGAGGGACGGCCGGCCCCUAAAUCUAGUGGCGGACCCGUCGUGGCCUCCUCUGCGAAGUAGCGAUAUUCCGCAUCGGAGAGCGACGAGCCCCUGCCGUUAAACCCCCAACUUUCCAAGGUUGACCUCAGAUCAGGUAGGAAUACCCGCUGAACUUAAGCAUAUCAAUAAGCGGAGGA
rnacentral:misc_RNA from 1 species